rfam:Schistosoma mansoni strain Puerto Rico chromosome 6, complete genome
AUCCACCUGACGAGUCCCAAACAGGACGAAACGCUCGUUCUGGAU